GACCAAGCUUGCCUUCAGCUGUUGGUGUUAAAGAUACCUCCGGUAGAAAAGAACGGACUAAUUUUACCUAUACAGAACUUGGAAUUUUGGACAACCCGAAUCCUUACCAAUCUAUUCGUACAAUUGAUUCAGCCUAUUUAGAACCAGUUUCGCAAGAGCAACACUAUGUAGAACUUGAUGAAAUUUAAACGUGUUUUGAAACAUUGAUGCCGUCAUA